rnacentral:rRNA from 1 species
UAUUAUAUAAAUUAAUUUUUCUUUUAAAUUAGUUUUAAUCAAUUAAAUUUAAUUAAAGUGGUAGUAUUAUUUAAUAUUUAGAGGAUUUUGUUAUGUAAUUGAUAAUCCACAAUAAAAUUUACUUAAAUUAAUUAAUUUGUAUAUUGUUGUCAUAAAAUAAUUUUUAAAAAAUAAUUAUUUUUAAAAAUAAUUAUUAUUAAAAUGUCAAAUCAAAAUUCAUUUUAUAUUUAAGAUUUAAAUGAAGUACAAUUAUUUUUAAUAUUGAAUAAUAAUUUGUAAAAAUUAUUUGAAAUUGGAUUUAAAAUUAAAAAUUUAUAAAUUUUAUUUUUGAAAUUAUAAAAUAAUAUGCACAUAUUGCCCGUCGCUUUUA